GAUGAACGCUGGCGGCGUGCCUAAUACAUGCAAGUCGAGCGAAUGGAUUAAGAGCUUGCUCUUAUGGAGUUAGCGGCGGACGGGUGAGUAACACGUGGGUAACCUGCCCAUAAGACUGGGAUAACUCCGGGAAACCGGGGCUAAUACCGGAUAACAUUUUGAACCGCAUGGUUCGAAAUUGAAAGGCGGCUUCGGCUGUCACUUAUGGAUGGACCCGCGUCGCAUUAGCUAGUUGGUGAGGUAACGGCUCACCAAGGCAACGAUGCGUAGCCGACCUGAGAUGGUGAUCGGCCACACUGGGACUGAGACACGGCCCAGACGCCUACGGGAGGCAGCAGUAGGGAAUCUUCCGCAAUGGACGAAAGUCUGACGGAGCAACGCCGCGUGAGUGAUGAAGGCUUUCGGGUCGUAAAACUCUGUUGUUAGGGAAGAACAAGUGCUAGUUGAAUAAGCUGGCACCUUGACGGUACCUAACCAGAAAGCCACGGCUAACUACGUGCCAGCAGCCGCGGUAA
rnacentral:rRNA from 1 species